GUUCCUACGGGAGGCUGCAGUGGGGAAUUUUGGACAAUGGGCGCAAGCCUGAUCCAGCCAUUCCGCGUGCAGGACGAAGGCCUUCGGGUUGUAAACUGCUUUUGUACGGAACGAAAAGGCUCUGGCUAAUACCUGGGGCUCAUGACGGUACCGUAAGAAUAAGCACCGGCUAACUACGUGCCAGCAGCCGCGGUAAUACGUAGGGUGCAAGCGUUAAUCGGAAUUACUGGGCGUAAAGCGUGCGCAGGCGUGUAUGUAAGACAGAGGUGAAAUCCCCGGGCUCAACCUGGGAACUGCCUUUGUGACUGCAUCGCUGGAGUACGGCAGAGGGGGAUGGAAUUCCGCGUGUAGCAGUGAAAUGCGUAGAUAUGCGGAGGAACACCGAUGGCGAAGGCAAUCCCCUGGGCCUGUACUGACGCUCAUGCACGAAAGCGUGGGGAGCAAACAGGAUUAGAUACCCGGGUAGUC
rnacentral:rRNA from 1 species